rnacentral:rRNA from 1 species
CUACGGGUGGCAGCAGUGGGGAAUUUUGGACAAUGGGCGGAAGCCUGAUCCAGCCAUUCCGCGUGAGUGAUGAAGGCCUUCGGGUUGUAAAGCUCUUUCGGCCGGGAAGAAAUCGUGCAGGCUAAUAUCCUGCAUGGAUGACGGUACCGGAUCAAGAAGCACCGGCUAACUACGUGCCAGCAGCCGCGGUAAUACGUAGGGUGCGAGCGUUAAUCGGAAUUACUGGGCGUAAAGCGUGCGCAGGCGGAUGUUUAAGCCAGAUGUGAAAUCCCCGGGCUUAACCUGGGAAUGGCAUUUGGAACUGGACAUCUAGAGUGUGUCAGAGGGGGGUGGAAUUCCACGUGUAGCAGUGAAAUGCGUAGGGAUGUGGAGGAACACCGAUGGCGAAGGCAGCCCCCUGGGAUAACACUGACGCUCAUGCACGAAAGCGUGGGGAGCAAACAGGAUUAGAUACCCCAGUAGUC